rnacentral:rRNA from 1 species
AUGAAUUACAUCAUCGGCGCCUUCAAGCCGCCCUGCGACAUCUUCGUGACCUUUUCCGAUGAGAGGAGCCGGAAGCAGGUUGCAGUCAAGAAGGAUAAUGGAAAGACAACCAUGGUGCCGGCGUUCCAGAGCCUGGAGACCAUAGCCGGAGAGGUAUCAAUAGCGCCUGUUCCUGGUAAAAGGAUUGAGCACAUGGGUGUUAAGAUUGAGCUGCUUGGACAGAUAGAGUUGUAUUUCGACAGAGGCAACUUCUAUGACUUCACUUCACUGGUGCGUGAGUUAGAUGUUCCUGGUGAAAUAUAUGAAAGAAAGACAUAUCCAUUUGAGUUCUCUACUGUUGAAAUGCCAUAUGAGUCAUACAAUGGAACAAAUGUCAGACUGAGGUACAUCCUGAAAGUGACUAUUGGUAGAAACUAUGUUGGUAAUAUUGUGGAAUCUCGGGAUUUCUGUGUAAGGAACUAUUCUCCUCUUCCUUCAAUCAAUAACAGCAUCAAGAUGGAAGUUGGAAUUGAAGAUUGCCUGCAUAUUGAGUUUGAGUACAGCAAAAGCAAGUACCAUCUCAAGGAUGUCAUUGUAGGAAAGAUCUAUUUUCUUCUAGUCAGAAUAAAGAUAAAAAACAUGGAGCUUGAGAUUCGCCGCCGGGAAUCAACAGGAUCAGGUCCUAACACAUAUGUUGAGACUGAGACACUUGCUAAAUUUGAGCUGAUGGAUGGUGCCCCAGUCAGAGGAGAGUCUAUUCCUGUAAGGCUAUUCUUGACUCCAUACGAGCUAACCCCGACUUACCGCAACAUAAACAACAAGUUCAGUGUCAAGUACUACCUCAACCUGGUCCUUGUGGACGAGGAAGACCGGAGAUACUUCAAGCAGCAAGAGAUAAACAUGUUCCGCCUUGACGAAACUCCACAGCCUUCAUAA